rnacentral:other from 1 species
GUUAAUCUGAAGUGUUCGAAAAACUGCUAUUUUGAACCUACAUUUUAUUCAAGGGAAUCCGAUAUCCGCUUGAGGAAUGUCAAGCCCCAUCUAUAUGAUAAGGGGAAGACAGGAAAAAGCAUGAGGACACCCACCUAGCUUAGCUAGGCGUCAAAAUCGCAGGGAACGGCACAUUCGGAGGCUUA